GCAGCCGCUUCCCGCCUCCGCCACGCGCCCGCGCGCAGGGGCCUCUUCCCGGGGCUCGCACACGUCACCGCGCAGAGGGAGGGGGGAGCGGCGCCGCCGCCUAUUGGCUGACACAGCUCGUGACGGCUGGUGAGUCAGAGGAGCGCAGGAACACGUCACCGCUGAACAAACUCCAGUAACCUCUGAGUAGCUGCAUCUCACCGUGUAAAUGGGGAAGUUUUCCCAAAGUCAGAGCUGAGCCACUAAUUUCCAAGUGCGUGUCUUCCCUUCCCUGCAUGACUUCAGGGCUGCCCUGUGCACAAUAUGUACCCAGGUGCACCUGGAGCCGCUGUCCCAAACUAAAGGGCAAAGCUACAAUGCAGUAUUAAAACAUUUCUAUCACGUCACCUUAUCAGACCCAUUAAUAAAACAAAUUUGUUUUGACCAACAGACACCCGAGACAGACUCUUUUUAGAUGUGUGACUGCUGGAACUAGUCUAUAUUAAAUAUUCUAUGGGGACUCUGAGCAGAGCCACCAAAUGAAAAAGUCUGAUCUAGUUUGCAGUGUGUGUUUCACACUAUUAUCCCAUCACCCAUCUUUCUCCUGCUUGAUCCUGCUUAAUAUUAAAGCUGUUAAAAAAAAAAAAACAAAAAAAAAAUCUUAUGAUUGCUGAAACGUGACCAGCUGCAUGAUGAUUGCACCAGGAAUUUUCACAUAACUUUACCCCUGUUCUGAAGAUGUUGAUUUGAACAGAAUACUGCUGAAAGAUACUCUCAGAUCAAGCUAUACAUGAUCACUGGUGCCUGCAUGCUGAAAAUGGUGUGCUGUUUACACUGAAUUGUGUUGUGGUGCCACCAUUGGCUCUGUGAGGAAGUGAAAAAGAAAAACAACAACAAAAA